GACUUGUGUGCGCCGGAUGCGGCGAUCUGCGGCCAAAAGGUCGUUGCGAUCAGCCCGUCCUGGCGCCGUAAAAUUUGCAACUGGGUCGCCUCUGGUCUUAAUUGGUCGGUGGCGUCUGCUCGGUUGCUCGUUUACUGUGAGAAAAUUGGAGUGUUCAAGGCAGGCGUGGAUUGCAACUGAACAUGUUAGCAUGGAAUAAUAAGAUAAGGCUUCGGCUUUCUCUUUGUUGGUUUCUAAGGCCGAAGUAAUGAUUGAUAGGGACAGUUGGGGGUGCUAGUAUUCAGCGGCCAGAGGUGAAAUUCAUGGAUUCGCUGAAGACUAACUUAUGCGAAAGCAUU
rnacentral:rRNA from 1 species